CUGUUUUAGAGAGAUAAGAUCCUUGAACCAGAGAAGAAAACUCUGAUUUUGUUGUUGUUGUUGUUGUUGUUGCUGUUGAAUUUGUUUAUUUAUUUUGAGGGUGAGAGAGAGAAAGAGAGUAGGAGAAGGGGCAGAGGGAGAGGGAGAGAGAGGAUCCCAAGCAGACUCCCUGCUGAGCACAGAGAUGAGGCAGAGCUAGAGGCCAUGACCGGAGCUGAAACCAAGAGUUGGACACUGAGCCACCCAGGAGCCACAGAAGACCCUAAUUUAAAGAAAAACCAUGCUCUGUCUGCUGAUUGGACACUGUCUACAACUAACAGUGGUCCUUUCCUGUCUGCGAUGAUUGCCAAGUGUGCACACAGCAGAUGCAAGCUGGUCUUCUAA
rnacentral:lncRNA from 1 species